rnacentral:misc_RNA from 1 species
AAUCAAUCAAUUUGGAGUGAAAUAAAGAAAAAUGACUUGAAGAGGACUUGCACACCAAGCGAGUGCCCACAAUCAUGCAUGCACUCUCAAUCAUACAAUUAGAUAAUUGUGUAGUUAAGAGGGCAUGUUCAUGGUGCACACUUGUCUUUGAGAACGCUUUGAAAGUAAAUAGAUAGGUACAAGUUAGCGAUAGGUGUAGCUUAAUUUUACGAAUAACAAAUCAAGGGAUCCAUUUAUUGGCAAGAUUUUUAGGUGGUUUAACCAUGGGAAACGUCAAGGAAGUCAAGCUGCUCAAUUUUUAGUUUCAGUCUAUAGCUAUCACGGGAGGUUGAAAAGGAGAUGUACAAGCUAGUAUGGUUGAAGGAAAAGAAGGGUAGGGAUCUAAAUUUGAUCAAUUAUGUAUAUUAAAGAUUAUAAUCAACAAGUCUUAUCAGUUGAUAGUAAGAUCAAAGAGAGAUAGAGAUGCUAUUUUGAUCAGCUGUUCAAUUCAAGUCAUGGGAUGACUUUACAAAUUUUAACAUUCUUUUGACAGAGAAGAAUCAUAACUACACUUUUAGAAUCAGAUUUGUUGAAGUUAAAGAGGCCAUGAAAAAUAUAAAGAUAUGAAGAGCUUGUGGCAGAUAUUAUCCAUAUAAGAAGUAUAAAAGUGCCUUUUCGAGAUUGGAGUAGCUUGGCUAACCAAGCAAUUCAAUGUCAUUCUAAAAUUUGGAAAAAUGCCAAAUGAUUAGAGGAAGAGCACUUUGGUUCUUAUCUUUAAGUUGUAUAAAUUACUGUGACAUUAACUGAUGAGUUACGCGGUGAAGCUGUAGGAAGAGUGAUUGAAUUCAAACCUAGGGACACUAUUAAGGUAUCAGAGAAAUAGUUUGGCUUUAUGCUUGGUAGAUUUGCAAUAUAGCCUAUUUUUCUAUUAAAAUGAUUAAUGAAAAUUUAUGGGAGAGGAAGAAAGAUCCUCACAUUGUAUUGAUUGACCUUGAAAAUGCAUAUGAUAUAUUCUUUGAUAGGUGUUAGAGAAGAAAAGAGUUUAUCUUGUAUAUAUGCCAUUAAAGACAUGUACGAGGGGGAGGUUACAAGUGUAAGAACAAUGGGAGGAGUACAGAUGAGCUCCCCUUAACAUUGGGUUUAAAUUUGAGUUCGUACUUGCUCAUUUAUGGAUGAGCUUAUAAGUCAUAUUCAAUAUGAUAUCCCAUGAUGCAUGUUAUUUGUAGAUAAUGUUAUUUUAGUGGAUGAAACUAGUGAAAGAG